GAGUGAUCGAAAGAUGAAAAGCACUUUGAAAAGAGAGUUAAACAGCACGUGAAAUUGUUGAAAGGGAAGCGCUUGCAACCAGACUCGGCCUCGGGGUUCAGCCAGCAUUCGUGCUGGUGUACUUCCCCGGGGCCGGGCCAGCGUCGGUUUGGGCGGCCGGUCAAAGGCCCCAGGAAUGUAUCGUCCUCCGGGACGUCUUAUAGCCUGGGGUGCAAUGCGGCCAGCCUGGACCGAGGAACGCGCUUCGGCACGGACGCUGGCGUAAUGGUCGCAAACGACCC
rnacentral:rRNA from 1 species